rnacentral:rRNA from 1 species
AUGUCAAAGUUCCUGAAUACCACGUGCCCACGGGCUCUGUACCGUGCGCACGGGGCCCCCGUGCCCAGGGGCUCUGUACCGUGCGCACGGAGUCUGCGGUUUCUGGCCCUGAAGAGGUGGGACGUGGGGCGUGGGGGGGCUCGGGUUCAUUCCCACCCAUUCUCCCCCUCCACUCCCCAGGAAACCUCCAGCGCCGCCGCCGUCGCCUCCGCUCGCCGGAGCUCCUCCGUGCUUCGUUGGGUUUCUUCCUCCGUGGAUCUGCAUCAGAUGGGUUCCUCCUCCGACUCCGCUGACAAGAGGUCUGAGCUUCGUCGCAAGCGUGCAAAAGGAGGAUCAAAGGACUACACCAUUGCUCGUCGUCAGCCGUCUGAAGGCAUGGGUCAGGGGUCUGGGUUAGGUCAGGGCCGUGUUCGCCGUGCUGCCUUAAAGCGGCCCAUUGUUGAGACCUCCGAUAAUUCUGAGGAAGAUUAUGACUCGCAAGAUGAUGCUUUCUAUGACAACCCCAAUGUUGAUGAUGAGAUAGAAGAAGAGGAUGAUCGUGUUGAGGAAGAUGAAGAAGAGGAAGAGUGGACCAAGCCAGAGAUCUGGGCUGAGAGACAGAGCCAUCCUUAUGCAGCUGCCACUGGUAUGGGAGUGGAUCCUCGCUUCAAGAACGAGUUUCAGCAAAGGGUCUAUCAUGAGCUUCUUAUGACCAAGUCAAAGAAGUUUGCUCCUCACAAGCAAGUCAACACUGAGAGUUUGCGCGACAAUGAUCAUCUGUAUCCCGGUGUGUACUCCGCUCUUGGCAGAUUGGAUCUUAUUCCAUUUGUCACCUUCAACCAUCCCUAUAAUGAAGAACUAGUGAUGCAGUUCUUUGCCACUAUGUUUUUCUCCAAUGACUCUGCUCGCACCCUCACUUGGAUGUCUGGAACGCAUCGGUGCUCGGCUCCUAUGGCAAAGUUCUCUGAGAUCAUUCCCUACCCAUUUAUGGAUGCAGAGGCUGUUUCUGAUGAGUUUGGCAUUGUUAGGGAAAGUGGGCAGCGCACUAAGGAUGAGAUUGCCUUUGCUUACAAACAAGAGAAGUCGUUUGUCGCUGGGUCAAUCAAAUAUCUCUUGCCCCUCUAUGACACCAUGCGCCAUAUCCUGAGGUAUACCCUCACUCCAAAGGCCGGGGAUUCCCAUAACAUUCGGAGCUCCAUGCUAGAUGUCUUUGUGUAUCUUCAUCAGAAGAAGAAAGUGGAUGUUCUGGAUUUCAUGUACUAUGAACUUCGUCAGUGUGUGCAAGAGAACAAGUCCUUGAUCUAUGCUCCAUUCAUACAGGCUUUGAUUGAGACCGUCUGUCCUGCAAAGUACAUUGCCUCUUUCAAGACCUCUGUUCCUAAGCGCAACUCCAACUGGACCUCGGCUGCUCCUGCUCCUUAUGUGCCUAUCAAGAAGGGGUGCAACCCUAGGCCUAAGGAUCGUGCCACUUAUACUCCAGGCAUGUCCUCUACUGCACGGAUCCCUCGUGGUAAGGCCAAGUCUGCUGGUUCUGAGGCCAUCUUUGCCAGGGGAGAGAAGAAGUCUCUGUUCAAGACCUUGAGCAACAUGUUCAAGAUGUGCCAGUCGAUUCAGCGUCGUCAGAUCAAGGAAAUCAACAAGGAGAAGCUUGUUCGGCGUGAGCAGAAGGCAGCAAGGGCUGCUGCUGGUGAGGAGGUCGGUCCAGGUUCAGAGGACAACAAGAGUGAGGCCACUGCUCGAUCUUUCCCGAUGGCCGGGUGGCGUUUUGAUGAUGAUGAUGAUGCCUUGAGUGCUCCUCCUCUUCCCGCGCUCAAGCACCUGCCACACCGUCGCUUCCUCGUCCGUCGUGUGCGAGAGGAGGGCAGGGAAUGCCGCGGUGACAGGCCCACAGGGGAGCCAGCAGUCGAACCAGAAGGAUUUCCUCCUCCCAUCCUGCACUGCCACCCUGGAGAGGCUCCGGUAGAGCGGGAGCAUGGCGCACAACGCCCUUCCGUGCUCCCCCAUGCAGCGGAAGCUGGCAGGGCUAGGAGCGAGCUAUCGUCGAGGCCCGUCCAGACCCAUGCGGCCCAGCACAAGGACGAGGUGGCCAUGUGGAGCCGGUGGAGCAUCUUGAGAAGAAGGCACAUGUUGUGUGUCCCGAGGAACCAUCGGCCAAGGUGGGGAGAUGGCCGAAGCACUGCAUUUUCUGCGUCCCACCGCGCUUCAAGCGUCUACAAGCUACAGACGGUGUCUCUCGGCGCCCAGGACCUAAAAUCCACGGAGGAGCACAAGUUGUGGGCCGUCCAUCACCUCCUUGGCCGGGACAGCUGCAAGACCAUCCUCGACCACCUCGUCACGGCCAUGGAGGAGGUGGCCCACGAGCAGGAGGACACCUACAUGGACCUGGGUGAAGAGUGGAGGGGCGAGGAGAACAGGGGCAAGUUACUUGAGAUGAUGAUCACAAAUGGUUGCUUCCUGCUGGAGCUGGUAUGGCAUGCAGCACAUCAAGCCGUUCAUGACAUGCUCAUGGUCAAGAACCAGCUUCCAUGUCAAGGGCAUGAAUCUGAAGAUCGAUGUGUGAUAUAUGACUGCCCUAAUAAAUUAUGGUGGCAGUCAGAUGCCGGGGCGGAGGGAUGCGGUGUUUCGAUGUGCUCCCACACUCCCGCUGCUGUUGCUGCUCGACGGGAGGAUAAAGAAGAGGGAACGAGAGAGGAAUCAGAUGUGGAAGGCAGGGAGGCGGCUUCCAGAAAAUCCAUGGUGCUCAAUUUUCCGGGGCUAAAAGAUGCACCGGUCGGAGACAAGCUGGGACUCCACCCACUCGGCAUCUACCAGACGAGCCAUCUCGAGAGCAUCCAAAAGCAUAUUGAUAAGAGAGCCCUGGCCCGAUCGGCGCAGAAGCUGGCCGAGGCAGGGAUCCGGUUAGUGCCCAGAGAGACAAGCUGCCUCAAAGACUUCAGGUUCGAUGGGACUCAUGGGAGGCUCCAGAUGCAUGACUCCACCGCCUAUAUGUUCCGCAACAUGAUGGUGUUCGAGGUGCUGCACCUCGUCACCUACCAUGUUCAGAUGCAAGGACCUAGUCGACUCCGCCUACCAUGUUCGGCUGCUGGUAAGGAACGGGGUCCUGGAGCACGACCUUGCAACGACAAGGCUGUGGUGAGGCUCUUCGACAGCCUCGCCAGGGACAUGACCAGGAACUUGGAGAAUCAGCUGGGGAACAUGAACGUGCGUCAAGGCGUGGAGAGCUACUGCACCAACUGCGUGCGCCUCUUCCUUUAUGAUUCGUGGGCCUACCUCAUGACCAAGCACUUGAGUAACCCCUGGACGUUCCUUGCCCUCGUCACCGCCACCUUGAUGCUCAUCGUAGAUAUCGUGCAGGCCGUGAAGAUUUCAUUCUUUGAAAAAGAUCUGGGCAAGGAGGAGGGCAAGGGGGAGGCUCAUGGAGUGGUGUUCCCCGGCCUUUGUCCAUGCCCCAGGGGUGCCCCAACCCCUGAUGGGUCCCACUGCUUCCCCCUUUUGCAAGACGAAAGUGGUAUGGCCACAAAGGGUGUUCACUUUGUGGACUACUCGAACUACUUUCUUUUGUUUAAUGAAGAUGGUUGUGUGCACCGUGAUGGUGCUGAGGUCGGGGCAGUCUACUUCUAA